rnacentral:rRNA from 1 species
UGUCCUAGAGUGGGGGACAACCCGGGGAAACCUGGGCUAAUACCGCAUGAUGCUCCGUCAUCGCAUGGUGAUGGAAUCAAAGAGAGCCUCUGCUUGCAAGCUCUCGCUCAAGGAGGGGGUCGCGACGUAUCAGCUUGUUGGUGGGGUAAUGGCCUACCAAGGCUACGACGCGUAGCGGGUCUGAGAGGACGACCCGUCACAUUGGGACUGAGAUACGGCCCAG